UUUUCAGAGGCGAGACUCGUGCACCACGCAAAUGGGUGCGUUUCCCAACAGUUUUAGUGGAUGCCGUACCGGAGAAUCCGGUUCAGGCCGAGCAGAGUCGGCUCAAAGAACUGUAGCAGAACGUGGCCGAUCCUGAGCUCCUGAUGAUCGGUGCGGAUUCAAUCGGGCUGGUAUUCAGGACAACAGUCGAGCGCAAUCUGAGCUGAAAGGGGAUGGGCGGAUGGAAAUUUCGAAAUAAUGAAGAGAAAGGAACUACACAGCAAUUGCGCGUGCACAGUAAUAACGUCAACAGAGAUUUAAAUUUAAAUUUAAUAACAAUCUCUUAAAUGGAAGUGAAAAAGAGAGAAGAAAAAACAUUGAACAAUUUCAAACGGAACUUGCGAAAUGAGAACGUUGAUUGUGAUUUCUCUCGGCCCGAUCGCCGACAUUGUUUACAUGUCACUGACUGGGGUGAGCAACGACGGUUGACGGCUGAGAGAAGAUGCCUCGCCGAUUGUUUUGGUACUCUGUCGCGUGUCGCGCAUCUCUCCGUGACCGAGUCAUUACGUUUCGAGUCGCGACUGCUGACGUACACACCGCGGAGCACGUGUGUCGAUACGUUCAUUAUCAUUCCCGUUGACUCUUAAAACAUUUAAUCGUGUUCUUGUUGGCAUCGCGCUCAUUAACACGCGUUUCUCCGAUCGAAUCGUAUCUACGCGAGUGUCAGUGCCAGUGUCAGUGCCAGUGUCAGUGCCACGUCGGAGCAGCCGGAGCAGAACAGCGGAUUGGAAAGCCAGGACACGGAGGAUGCAGAACGGGUGCAACGAUACGUCACGUAUAUUUCCAGAGAUCGUUAACGAAGGACACCGAGCCGCUGCGUGCCGUGGACCGGUCCGCCUAGAAUCCUUGCGUACAUUUCACAACAGCGAUCGGGGUGGCCGAGGAGCGUAAAAACUGUUGCAAAUUGAUCCCGCGGUUGUCAGACUGUCAGUCAACAUGAGCGUGAUACAUUGGACGAAUCUAGACGUCGAACGUCACACGGAGCCUCCAGUGACGCGAAUCGUAGACAAGUUCGCAACGAGAUGUGUAUGCGUGUCGUUGCCAGAUAGAAUGUCGACGAGAUCGGCGUGGAGGGAGAAGGACGACGAGAUCGAAAAAGAACGAUUGGCGGCUGGCGUAGUUACCUUCGUAGAGAAGUAAGAGUGAACUCGCCGUAAUCAAGUAAUGACCAUGACUCAUUUUCGCAGAGAACCGUUGCGCGUUCGGCUCGCGAUUUACCUCUCCAUCGAAACGUAAUAUUUCGUUUGUUACGAUUUUCCGGUCACCGAGCAAUGAUGUAAUUUUGCAACGCGUAUUUUUAAGGAAUUAGAAAAGGUACCGGAGGAGGCUCACGAGAGAAAGCCAUGAAUUUCGCGGCGAAUUCUUUCGAAAAUUUCAUGUGUCAAGAAGGGAAGAUUCUGAAGAAUUGUUUAUCAGGAUCUUCGAAUUUGUAAUAUCAACACGACCAAAAAAAAAACGAAUUUGAAUAAAAUGGGAAGAUUUAGGUUUAAGUUCAAAUAUAUGUAUAUAAUCGUGUAUAUCCUUGUUCUUUUGUUUUCGACUCUGUUUCUUAAGUUUCAAUUUUUCAAUUCCUUGGUUAAUUAAAUUUAGUUUCUAUUAUAUAUUAUAAAAUUAGAAUAGCGAAGUAAAACACCAGCUGCAAAGCUGGUUUUUUCACAUUUGGGGAAGAGAAAGACAAAGAAAUCGAGUAGCUUUAUGGAAGUAGUUCACCGCGCUUCCGAAACGUCACGGCACAUGGGAAAAGAGGAGACACGAAUGAUUCUGCGAUGUGUGGAGGAAAUUCCCGCAACUCUUCGGGAAUCCCCUCUUGCUGCAACGACAACGUAUGGUUCUCCGAAGAGCAGCGCGUGGAGGCUUUCCUUGUAUGAAUAAAUUAUAGAUUACGGGUCAUUGAGCUAUUUCUGGCCGGGAAUGUUAUCGCGAAGACAUCGAUUUGCAUUUAUUUGUGCGGAGCGGAGUUGUUAUUUGUAUCAAGCAAAAUACAUCUCGCAAGAUCGUUUCACGAUCUGUACAACAAUGUAAUUUAUGCGCGUGGACGAUUGAAACGGCUAUAUAAAAUAUACAAGAUAAAAACUCAACGUGUAAAAUGUUCACUCUGUUAUAAUACUGUCGUCAGUCAUUCAAAUUAUAUUCGGAUUAAUGCUAAUACUCCUCGGAUUAUUAAUCGAGUCAGAUAAUCGCUUCACAAACGACUCUAACGGCAAAUGCUAAUGCGUCCGUAUUAGCACUAUCGCCCGAGAAAAGAAAUUUAUUUAAAUAUGUAAUCUUAUCAGUUUUCCAUCAUCAACCAACCAAAGCUACAAUUUUCUAAUGAGCUACAAUUUUCUAAUGAGUUAUAAUAGAUUAUAAUGUAUCUUUAAUUAGAGGCCGAUGUAUUGGGAGAUUAACCUAGGAACGUUUCGGUCGAUUGAAUUGAGAAAUCGUACUGCGCUCGUUAAAUUUUUAUCUCUCUUGCGUACUGCGAUAACAAUUCCAUGAAUAAUGCAAUUACUUAAAGGUACUCGGAUAUCGUGCUGUAUAAAAUGUAAUCACUUUUAUUCCGAUAAAGAAUCGGUAUUGCUAUACAUUUUGUAACGUCUAACUUAAAAUAUUCGAGUCGCUGUUUCCUAAAGUUUCGCAAGAAUUCAAGUAUAGAAUGUCAAGGUUGAUGUAAACAACUAUUUUCUCUUUUUUCAGGGAAUUAAUCUUUUUUUAAUAAAGUA